rnacentral:rRNA from 1 species
AGCCAGACUCCUACGGGAGGCAGCAGUGGGGGAUAUUGCACAAUGGGGGGAACCCUGAUGCAGCGACGCCGCGUGGGCGAUGGAGUGCUUCGGCAUGUAAAGCCCUAUCAGCAGGGAAGAAAAUGACGGUACCUGACUAAGAAGCCCCGGCUAACUACGUGCCAGCAGCCGCGGUAAUACGUAGGUGGCAAGCGUUAUCCGGAUUUACUGGGUGUAAAGGGCGUGUAGGCGGGACUGCAAGUCAGAUGUGAAAAUUAUGGGCUCAACCCAUAACCUGCAUUUGAAACUGUAGUUCUUGAGUGAUGGAGAGGCAGGCGGAAUUCCGUGUGUAGCGGUGAAAUGCGUAGAUAUACGGAGGAACACCAGUGGCGAAGGCGGCCUGCUGGGCUUUAACUGACGCUGAGGCUCGAAAGUGUGGGUAGCAAACAGGAUUAGAUACCCCGGUAC